UCUCUGGAAAGUGGAUCUCCCCAGUCUCUGAUGCCCCGUAACAUCCCCUUCAGUUACUGCCCUGAUGCCUGGUUGGAAGGACUGGUGGGUGUCCUCACUGUGUGAAUGAAGACCCUGUCCCGUGCCUCUUCUCCCCCGGCAUUUGGAAGUGUGGUUGACCCAUUGGCUGCAAUUCUUCACCUCGCGGUGUCUGUGGCUUUUGCUUGUGACUUUUCCGUUUCUCCCCCACAGGAUGUUAGCAGGUUAUGCAGGAAGGGGCUUGAGAUCAACUUGAAAGGUUGGGUUUGUCCUCCGGCGCUUCUGCUAUUACCAUGAGAUGUGUUUAUCCUGUGAGCUGCUGCCCCUUCAGCCUGGACCCCAGCGUGGACACACAAGGCCCAAUCUUCAGCCCAACUCAUCAAGAGGAGCCAAGGCCGGCUGGACCCGCAGUUUGAAGCGGCCUUACCCAGACAAGCCCAGCCCCGAUCAAUUGAUUCACAUUCAAUAUUCUGACCCCCGGGCAUGAGAAUAAAUGCUUAUUGUUGUGGGUCACCGGU